ensembl:snRNA U1 U1 spliceosomal RNA
AAAAUUGAAUUGAAUUGGUUCACCCAGGGCGAGGCUCAGCCAUUGCACUCCGGUUGUGCUGACCCCUGCGAAUUCCCCAAAUGUGGGAAUCUCGACUGCAUAAUUUCUGGUAGUGGGGGACUGCGUUCGCGCUCUCCCCUG